UCAUACUUAGGUAAGUUGCAUAAAGAUUUACACACCCCCUCCCAAAAAAUCAAAAGCCUCUUGGCUCUCGCAGAUCUCUCUCGCUCUCUAUCAUCCCUCCCAAUCAACUGUAUUUCUUCAAAACCUGGUAAUUAGGGUUUGAUGGCUGACCGGAAUGCGGUGGCUAUUCGGCCAAUUUGGGCGAGACAGGCUGAGGAAGCAAAGCUGAAGAGUGAAGCGGAGAAAACUGCGGCUGCCAAGGCGGCUUUUGAGGCUACUUUCAAGGAUGUGGACAAGAGCAAACCUAAGGCUCUUGAUUUAUCUUCGGACAGUGAAGACGAGGCGGAAGAUCUCGUGAACAAGCCAAUUGGGCCAGUUGACCCUUCCAAGUGUACUGCAGCUGGUGCUGGAGUUUCUGGCGGGUCGGCAGGCUCACCUUGUACAUUUAAUUUGAUUACCAAGGAUUCAGACGGGAGAAAGAUCCCGAAAGGGGAUGCUCAGGUUAAGGUUAAGGUUACCCCGGGAGUAGGGGUCGGAGGUUCAGACAUUGACGGGAUUGUGAAGGACCUGGGUGAUGGGACGUAUACGGUUACCUAUGCUGUCCCUAAGAGAGGAAAUUAUAUGGUCCAUGUGGAAUGCAAUGGGAGGCCUAUCAUGGGCAGCCCGUUUCCUGUAUUUUUCAGUGCAGGAAGUUCGAAUGGAGGACUGCUUGGUGUGGCUCCUACAGUGUCAUAUCCAAACCUUGUUAAUGCUAAUAUGCCAAACAUGCCAAACUAUGCUGGUUCUGUUUCUGGGGCAUUUCCUGGUCUGGUUGGGAUGAUUCCUGGACUUGUUCCUGGCCCUUCCGGUGGGGUGAUUUUGCCUGGUAUUGGAGCUUCCUUGGGGGAAGUAUGUAGGGAAUUUCUUAAUGGUCGGUGCUUCAAAACAGAUUGCAAGUUUACCCACCCCACACACAACUUGCUCAUGAGUGCAAUAGCUGCAACCUCUACCAUGGGAACCAUGAGCCAAGUGCCAAUGGCACCUUCUGCUGCUGCAAUGGCUGCAGCACAAGCAAUCAUGGCUGCUCAGGCUCUUCAAGCCCAUACUGCUCAGCUACAGGCUCAAUCUAAGCUGUCUAAAGAUUCUUCCAGUGCAUGUGAGGCAGAUAAUAAAGCUGAUGUGUUGAAGAAAACUGUCCAAAUUAGCAACCUCAAUCCUCUUCUCACAGCAGAACACCUGAAACAACUUUUUGCCUUUUGUGGUACUGUGGUGGAUUGCACCAUCACUGACUCAAAGCACUUUGCUUACAUAGAGUAUGCAAAAGCUGAAGAGGCAACGGCUGCGCUUGCUCUCAAUAACAUGGAUGUUUGUGGCCGCCCCUUGAAUGUUGAGAUGGCAAAAUCACUUCCUCAGAAACCUGCUGGUUCUUCAGCUUCAUCCUUGCCAAUCAUGAUGCAGCAAGCAGUAGCCAUGCAGCAGAUGCAGUUUCAGCAAGCAUUGCUGAUGCAGCAGACAAUGACCGCACAGCAAGCAGCCAGCCGUGCUGCUACAGUGAAGUCUGCUACAGAUUUAGCAUCAGCUAGAGCUGCAGAAAUAUCAAAGAAACUGAGGGCUGAUGGUUUUGUAAUUGAUGAAAAAGAGCCAGAGAAAAAAUCUAGAUCUCCAUCACCUUCUAUUGCAAGGUCUAAGUCCAAGUCAAGGUCACGGUCACCUAUUAGUUAUGGUAAAAGACGUAGAUCUCGAUCUUUCUCACCUGCACGCCAUUUUCGUGGUCGGAGAUCAAAGUCUCCUCGAAGGUCUCGCCAUAGAUCUCGUUCUUUUUCUCCUCAGAUAAGACAUUCUCGAGAUCAUAGAUCUAGGUCUCCAGUAAGGUAUCGCCACUAUACAGGCUAUGAAUAUGAUAGGCGGUCAUAUAGAGAUGUUAGUGAUAGAUCUGGAAGGAGAGAUUCGAAAGGAUCACGUGAUUAUCAUGUGUCUGAUUUCAAAAGGAAUAAGAGUAGGAGUCCUAGUCCUCGAGGGAGGAGAUCGUAUCGAGACCGUUCAGAUUCACCAAAACCUCGACAUUGUAGGAGUUCUGGUCACCGCUCCAAAUCACCAGGACUUCACCAAGGAGGUAGAUCUUCCCCUGCUAAUGAUGCAGACAGAAAGUUGAAGCAGCAUCGGCGAUCUAGGUCUAAAUCUGUAGAGGAUAGGCACAAGUCGAGUAAGAGAAUUGAUGAAGGCAAGGAGAAGGCAAAGUAUCGUGGUAGGAGGCGUUCUAGGUCUGCAUCAUCUGAAAAUAAGCAUGAUAAGAGUGGAAAGUUGUCCCCCCAAAGUUCAGAUGAGAACUUAACAACUCAUAGAAAGCGCUCAAAGUCAAGAUCAAGAUCAAGAUCAAGAUCAAUGGACACUAAGGAUCAUUUGAAGGUGAAAGAAGGUGAGCCUGUUGAUGAAAAAGAAGAACCAAAAUGCAGGGAAGGAAUUAGAUCCACUUCAAAUGUCAAAGAAAUGUGCAAGAAGACAUCCUCUCAAUCAGUGGAUGAGAAUAAAUCUAAGAUAUCCAGGCACUCAACAUCCAAAUCUAUUAGAGAUGAUGUUGAGCGUAAGGGAAUAAAGGAUGAAGGCAGGAAAGAAAAACGGAAGCAUCGUGACAGGAGGCGUUCCAGGUCAUUAUCAGCAGAACACGAAUCCCACACAGGCAGCAAGUCCUCUCGGCAUAGAGAGGACAAAUUGAAGUAUAAGCAUAGAAGACGGUCAAGAUCAAAGUCUCCUGAAGUCAAAGAGAAAAGGAAAAAUAGCAGAAGCAUUAACGAUAAACUAGACCGCAAUAGCAGAAAGUAUGUAAAAGACGACGGCGAAAAAAGUUCCAGGAAUUCAACUGACCUCAGGGAUGGAACUUCCUGUAGCAACUGUUCUGGAAAGAACCACUCUAUCAUUGAGAGUGAAAGAUCUGAAUGUGAUAAAAGCAAGUCAAUGAAAGCUGCAAUUUAUGAAAGCGAAUCCGAUAGAUCUGAUGUUGCGGAAAACUCUAAGAGCCAGUCUAAUUGUGAUCCAGAAACCUUUGCUGAAAAUAACAACAUUGGCGCUGAGCCUGAUUACUCUUUUGAGCGAGAAGGUGGUGAUAAUUGAGAAGUCAAUAAUCAGCUCAUUCAGAUUCUUUAACUGCAGUUACUCAUGGCCUAGUUGAGGUUAAUGUUGAUAAGCAUUACGGACAGUAAAAAUUUCAGAUUUACUGCCUUGGAGAGAUAUUCAUGUGGGGUUGCUCACCUAAGCUACAAGCUGUCUUCAUAUUAGGAAAAUGGUUCUGAAGCUUGAGGAUCACAUCUUUCUUCAAAUUUCUUCACAUGGCAGUGACAGUUUGGCCUCAGGCAAAAGCUAGUGAAGGAUCAAUAUGUUUGAAUUCUGAACUUGCGGAUGAGCAGUGGCUUGCUUAUAUUUUGUUUCAGUGCCCAGAGGUUUCUGAUGAUAUUGUUCUUUACACAAAUUGGCCUUGCUGCCUCUUUUUUUGCAGGUAUGAUGGAGGUGAAAGAGAGCAAUGGUUUCUUUGUUGGUGACUUGUCAAGCCUUUUUAUCUUCCUUUAUGCAAUGUCAACGUCCAGUGUUAGUAGCAAGGUUCUUUGAUAUAAAGUGUGCUGACUUCACAAUGGAGGCUUCUGUUAGAACUUUUCCAAGUGAAAUUUGGAAGGACAUGUUCUGUGAAUUUUAACUGAGAAACUUCUCCCAUUAGCUAAGCUACUAAGUUCAAGCAGAAGUAGAUGUGCUGAGUGAAAGCAUGAAAAAAGGAAUUUGUCAAGCAAAGCAAAGUGGCCCUGCUGGUAGACUGUAUGUUUCAUUGUUAACACUAGUUAACUUCAGGUAAUUUUCUGCCGAGCCUCUGAAUUGAUCUGGCAGGUGUAGUCGGUCUUUUUGUUCAUAUUGGCAAGUCUUAUGUCAAUAUGAUUAUGUUUAUGAAAUUUUCAUGGGAAUAACUUUAGUGCAGCUUAUUCAAGUUUCUCUGUUUCUCAAUUGACAAGUAGGGUGUCAAAUGCUCUCUUGUAUGAAAUGGUGAAAAUGGCUCAAUCAUAGCUGAUGUGAUUGUUUUCUGGUUUGUUAGAGGUGUGAAACAAUUAGCAAUUCCUGGACCAAUGUUGGUUAUCUAUGAUAUGUAGAUAUGCAUAUGCGAGAUAAUACAUCUGAAAAACUUAUAAUACAACUAUAUAAGUAGCUUAUACAUUGCCUGGUUAUCAGAAGAAAACUGCCGCCCUAACGUACCUUUUGGUCUUUUUUAAGGUUCAUGGAAAUUUGCUUCAAUUGGUAAUCCUGUCUCAAGUAUUUACAAAUGCAGUUGUUUUUACUGCUACAUUUUCUUGUCUUUUAUGUGUUAUGGACUUAUAGUACCAUCUUCAGUAUCUUGAUGUUUUUUUCCUUCCCUUUUAUUUGUUGAGAUCCCUCGGCCCUAAUUUCCCCCUUUUAUCCCAUUUCUUAUGUUUUCUGUCAUUUAUACUAGGUCGAGCAGUGUGAUUGGACGCUGAAGCAUGUGUCCAGUGUUCCCGUAUUAUCAUAUUUUCGAGGACUUUUUUUUUUCUCUCUUUUGUUGGAGGGGGGGUGGGGGGAAUGUUUACAUACCUGAAUCUUUGCUAAUUAUUUUUAUAUAUCAAUCAUUAAAUAUAAAAAAUCAUGAUUUCUGUGCAUUACUUCCUACAGUACAUAAGUUUAGUACAGAACAGAAAGAUUAUUGAGCGAGUACAAUCUUUACAGUUCAAAACUUAUUGGUUCCAAUUCCACUAUAUUCACAUGUCAGAACAACACAGUUUAGUAUUCUUACGAGUCUUAUCUCUUAAACACGGACACUACUUAUUUUAGGACAACUUUAAGUACUUUAUGAUCAAUCUACCACGAGGUGCAUGAUACGUAAAUAGAAUCUACAGCGCGAGGGUGGCCUAAAACUAUAUGAGCUUUGUGCCUGUCUAUGGGGAUCCAAUGUUGAUCUUUGCUGCCUUGUAUAUAUGUGGAAUUAGUGACUGUUGUAUCCAUAUUAUUCCGUUGGUCUUUAUGCAGCUUUUUGGGACUAAAGCUUUGUUGUUGUUGUUGCUCUUUAUUCAGCUCCUUUUCUGAGAUUUCGACUGCUUGGACCUAUUAUUGUUCAUAUCUCAGAACAUGCAAGUGUUGCUACCUCUUUAACGCAUUGUGAACAGUUGAUUGUGUAUUAUUGUUCAUAUCUCAGAACAUGCAAGUGUUGCUAACUUGCUACCUCUUUAACGCAUCGUGAACAGUUGAUUGUGUAUUAACUAUAAUCCUCCCUUCGUUUCAAA